CCAUUCAUGGCCCAGGACAGAGGCAAGCAGAGGUUAGGAAAUUUGCCCUGUUGAUCCCGACUUGUCCAGGGCCAGAAAAGACUGCCCCCCCAGCCAUUUUUCCCUCCCACAGGAUGGCCCUGAAGGUCUAGUUGGUCAUGAGACUGACAGGAGUGACUCCUGACAGACCUGUGGGUUUCCUGUGGACUCUUGCUGUGGCUCUCGUGUACUCCCAUUAGAGGGUCUCCUCUGUAACAUAGGCUAACCUUGAACUCCUCAUCCUACCUGCCUCCAUUUCCCUAGUACUGGGACCGCAGGCUUGCACCACUCCAGCCAGCUCAAGGCAUAGUAUCUCUGAAAUAAAGCCGUUCGAUUAUAACCAAGGUCCC
rnacentral:lncRNA from 1 species